rnacentral:tRNA from 1 species
AUCCCUGUGGCUCAGUUGGUAGAGCAUGGUGUUUGCAACGCCAGGGUUGUGGGUUCGAUUCCCAUGGGGGGCC